ACACCGCCUCUCUCCUCCUGCGACAAGCGUCUCCUCCUGCGAGCAGAGAAGUCCAUCGUCUUCUCCAGCGCCGACAGUGGCCUCUGUCUUGAGAGCAUCCGCCUUCUCCACCGUCGUCCUCUCCGGCGCCGACAGCCGUUGCUCCUUCACCAGGUGAACAAUACUGGCAUUGGUGGAUCCAUUAUCGACGCUGAUGCUUUGAGAACUUCGGUGGAUCCAUCCAAAGUUCCGCCUUACCGAUGUCAAUCCACGAAGACAUAUUCUUUUUCCCUUGCUCUGUCCGGAAUUUGCCAGUCCCUGCUACAUAAAUCGCAAUUUGCUGAAUUUGGAAACAAUCAUCCGCACGCUAAGGUACUAUAGAAGGGGGAUCAAAUAGUGUGUCUAAUGAGCAAGUACAACCAGUUGAACAAUUCUUGGGUGAUGACAUUAACAUAUUGGUAGCGUGGCUCUGCUUAGCUGCGAUGGACACGUCCCUCCAUACGAGAGAACCUAUUAGGGACAGUCAAUUAUCAGGAGGAGAAUGGAUAAGGGAGAUUGUUCAUGGACAUUCAGAUAGGAUAUAGGAAGCAUUUAGGAUGGAGAGACAUGUUUUUCUGAAUUUAUGUGACUUAAUGAGGGUAAGGGGUUGGUUGAAAGAUAGUCGAUUUGUUCAAAUAGAUGAACAAGUUGGGAUAUUUUUAAGUGUGGUUACUCACAAUAACUCAAAUAGAGAUUUAUGUGAGAGAUUCCAACAUUCAAGAGAAACGAUAAGCAAGUAUUUCAACAAAGUGUUGAAAGC